ensembl:lncRNA LINC00963 long intergenic non-protein coding RNA 963
AAACACCCCUCCCCUGUUUCUGGCAGGAGCCGUCCUCACUCCCUCUAUUGCCUCUCCAGACCCAGACUUCACCCUCAGGUCACCCUCACCUGGACUUUGGGGUGCCCCACACCCCGCCCCAGGCCCUGGCCUCUGGAAUAUUUGGAAACUUGAACUGGGCCAGAGGCUUAAGCUCACAUCUGUCUGGAGCCUCAACUUUCUCCUCUGUAAAAUGGGCUAACACUGAAAGAACCUUGCAGAAUCUCAGCAACGUCACAGAGGACAUUGUUAGCACAGCCAGCGGGCUCCUGCUGGGCUGAGUUUGUGGGUAAUCCAAGCCUCGGCAGGUACAGUUCCUCCCUCAGCCCAGUGCAGAUGCAUCUGACUUACGAAACUUCAGUGACACCUGCUCUGUGCCAGACACUGAAGAUGGAGCAGUGAACAGCACUGACCCAGCCUGUCCUCCUGUUGCCUGCAGGCCAGAAGCAAGGUCUCGCUGUGUUACCCUGGCUGGAGUGCAGUGGCUACUUACAGGCAUGAUCAUAGCAUACUGCAGCCUCGAACUCCUGGACUAGAGCAGUUCUCCUGCCUCAGCCUCCAGAGCAGCUGGGACUGCAGACACGCACCACAGAGCCCAGCCUGAGUCAUUUUGAUUCUGUAACUGGCUUCCUCUCGGCGGGCAGGCUCACACCCUCCACCCCCAGCUGGAGAUGGAAGGAGGAUGCUCACCGCCCAUUCCUCAUGCAGGCCAUCGAUGGAAAUGUCAGACAGUGCGAGUCCACGCCUGAACACUUCUGGGGUCCGCUCUGGGACUGACACUGGCAGAUCCAUCGGUGAGCUCCCGCCUGCCACCUCUGGGCCUGCAUUGCGGUGAUAGGGCCAAGGGCCUGGGCCUUCAAUUCUCCAGACUUGCCAAAAUGCUCAGCGCAGGCCUCGUCGGCAACUGCAGACAAGCAGAGGCAGCACCUGGGCUCUGCCUGUGCCUGGCACAGUGAAGCGAGGGUGGGGGCAGGAAUGAGGGUCCUCUCCAUGCAAGGGGGGAAGAUAGAAGAACAAAAUUUCACCCUAAUGUAGUGUCUUUAGACCGUGCAAUGUUGUGCUCCUGUUAGUCUGAUAUCAGGGGCUUGCAGCCUGGCAAAGGAAAAAAAACAGGCUGAGGCACAUGAUAGAAGACAGGCAGGGAUGCCACAAUCAUAACCAUGGCAAAGACCAGGAUCAGAAAGGCCCACCAUCUCUGACCCCAAAUCCCUGGGCAGAUGGUUCCAGAACUCAGAAUUUUCCCAGUUGUAGAAAGAUGGGGCCAGGUGCAGUGGCUCACGCCUGUAAUCCCAGCAUUUUGGGAGUACAAGGUGGGCGGAUCACCUGAGGUCAGGAGUUCGAGACCAGCCUGGCCAACAUGGUGAAACCCUGUCUCUACUAAAAAAAAAAAAAAAAA